rnacentral:rRNA from 1 species
GAUGAACGCUGGCGGCGUGCCUAAUACAUGCAAGUCGAGCGAACAGACGAGGAGCUUGCUCCUCUGACGUUAGAGGCGGACGGGUGAGUAACACGUGGAUAACCUACCUAUAAGACUGGGAUAACUUCGGGAAACCGGAGCUAAUACCGGAUAAUAUAUUGAACCGCAUGGUUCAAUAGUGAAAGACGGUUUUGCUGUCACUUAUAGAUGGAUCCGCGCCGCAUUAGCUAGUUGGUAAGGUAACAGCUUACCAAGGCAACGAUGCGUAGCCGACCUGAGAGGGUGAUCGGCCACACUGGAACUGAGACACGGUCCAGACUCCUACGGGAGGCAGCAGUAGGGAAUCUUCCGCAAUGGGCGAAAGCCUGACGGAGCAACGCCGCGUGAGUGAUGAAGGUCUUCGGAUCGUAAAACUCUGUUAUUAGGGAAGAACAAAUGUGUAAGUAACUAUGCACGUCUUGACGGUACCUAAUCAGAAAGCCACGGCUAACUACGUG